AUGAUGUUGAUUUUCACAUACAAUGUCAGUUUGGCCAUGGAAGAAUUUUCUUUGAGAUAUUCUUUUCAUAUUUCUGCUCAUUUAUGUGGUUCCAAGGAAGAAUUUGUCUUGAUAUCCAGUGGUGCUUACCUGACUCUGAAUUUUAAAACUGAUAUGUCUGUGGGAUAAAGAGGUUUUAAACUUAUUUUGGAAGAUAUAAAUCAGAAGCAUUACAAAAAAGUAGUAUGGGGGCCCGACUGCCUAUCAAUGGUAAGUAUUUUUAAAUAUUUAUUAAAGCAGAUACCAUAUAUAUCAAAGUAGAACCUGUGAAACACUGGUUUGUGGGUCCCUGGUAGUCAUCCUGUUUUAAUACUCAAAACAGGAUAACUCCAUUUCAAACCAUUCCUUAAGGCACAAGACCUUGGUAGUUUAGGUAGACCAUUCAUGGUAACAGUUAACUGGUGUGUGUGUGUGUGUGUGUGUGUGUGUGUGUGUGUGUUUACUUAAGAAAUAAUUAUAAACAUAAAAGUCAGACAGUUGCUAUUUAAAAAAAUCCAUGGGGAGAUUGAGGCUGAAACAAAGGUGGAGCUCGCUGUGUUUCCAUGUCUCUGUUACCGUCUUGGUUUCAUUAAAUAACAACACCUAAAUCCCCCAAAACACACCUCCUCCCAAAAAAGAAUAUUUUGUUAGGAUGUAUACUAACUUCUCUGCAUAAACUAGAAACACAUGUAAUGACUUUUCUAUUUAUCCAAUCUACUUUUAAGUCAGAAUUUCAUUAAUUGUGCUUAAGAUUAAAAAGCCAAAUGAAUCUGUUAUUAGGAGAUUCUUUUGAAGUGUAAUUCUAGGAAGAAUUCUAAUAAUCAACAAUCAAUACAAAGUUCUUUUUGGGGGCAUCUAGGUGGCUCAGUCAGUUAAACAUCUGCCUUUGGCUCAGGUCAUGAUCCCAGAGUCCUGGGAUCUAGGCCCACAUCAGGCUCCCUGCUCAGUGGGAGCCUUCUUCUGCCAUUUUCCCCACUCAUUCACUCUCUCACUCAAAUAAAUAAAUAAAAUCUUAAAAAAAAAAAAAAAAGUUCUUUUUGAUGUCACUUUGUCUUUUGUAAGAGAAGGGAAAUAAAUGAGUUCUAGAAAAGUCCUUGAUUUGAGCCAUAGACUAAUGAACUCUAUCAUCUUAUAGGUGUGAUUUUUUAAUUGUGUAAGGAGUGUGCAAACUACAGACCCUUAGGUCUCCAUUGCUCCUUUUUUUUUUUUUUAAGAUUUAUUUAUUUAUUUUUUAGAGGGAGCUGAGUAUUCAGGGCUUGAUUCCAUGAUCCUGAGAUUAUCACCUGAGGUGAAAUCAAGAGUCCAGCGCUUGAAUGACAGAGCCACUUAGGCGCCCCUGUGUCCAUUGCUCUUAUCUUUUCAUCUCUAUAUCUUUACAUAUACUCAUGACCCUUUAUUCACAUGGUAAAAAUAUUUAGGCUGCUUCAUUUCUUCUUUUAAGCAUUUCUUUUUUUUAGAAGUUGAAAACAAUUUAAUUGAAUACUAAUAAAAUAUUGCUGUUAAACAUGUGUACAAACAGUCCAAAGGUCUAAGAGUUACCACAUACACAGAUUAAAAUGCAGUAAGGCAGUAAACCUUAAGGUACAAAACAUGUUGAAUAAAUACUUUUGUGGGUUUUUUUCUUUUUUCUAUGAUCUAGGAUAGUCUUAAUUUUGAAGAUUUGCAUUUUUUGACAUAUAAAUCCAAAAGGAGGAGGGAAUCUAUGUUCUAUACA
rnacentral:lncRNA from 1 species